GUGGUAGCUCAUUGGCAGAGCAUCUGCUUUCCAUGUAGAUGGUCCCAGGUUCAAUCCCUAGCAUCUCCA